rnacentral:lncRNA from 1 species
AUCUUUAUCCUCAACAUAACUUGAUGAAGUCAGUGAGAGGAUUGAUGACUUACCAGUAGGACCAGCUUGUUUUUAGUCCACCUUGAUCUGACUUGGUGAAAUCAGUGGGAGAAUUGAGAUUAGCUGGUUUGUGCAUUUAAUUCUAUUAAAUUGUGUUAACCAAAUCUUCUAAAUUAUUAGAUUUAUAAAAUUAGUUAGUUAUGGCGAUAACUAGAUCAUAGACUCUC